rnacentral:lncRNA from 1 species
UGCCCAUCGUCCCAACUUUCCAUCGCCCCAUCCUCCCAUCGUCCCAUCGCCCCAAAGCCCCAUCACCAUCGCCCAUCGUCAGAUCGUCCCAUUGCCCCAUCGUCCCAAAGCCCCAUCGCCAUCGCCCAUCGUCCCAUCGCCCCAUCGUCCCACCGUCCCAUCGCCCCAUCGUCCCAUCGUCCCAUGUUCCCAUCGCCCCAUCGUCCUAUGUUCCCAUCGCCCCAUCGCCCCACCGCCGCACCGUCCCACCGUCCCAUCGCUCCACCGUCCCAUCGCUCCAUCGCCCCAUCGUCCCAUCGUCCCUUCGUCCCAUCUUCCCAUCCUCCCAUCGCCCCAUCGUCCAUCGUCCCAUCGUCCCAUCGUCCCAAAGCCCCAUCGCCAUCGCCCAUCGUCCCAUCAUCCCACCGUCCCAUCGCCCCACCGCCCCAUCGCCCCACCGCUCCACCGUCCCAUCGCCCCAUCGUCCCAUCGCCCCAUCGUCCCAUCGCCCCAUCGUCCCAUCGCCCCAUCGUCCCAUGUUCCCAUCGCCCCAUCGUCCUAUGUUCCCAUCGCCCCAUCGCCCCACCGCCGCACCGUCCCAUCGCUCCAUCGUCCCAUCGUCCCAUCGUCCCAUCGCCCCAUCGUCCCCAUCGUCCCUCGUCCCCAUCGUCCCAUCUUCCCAUCGUCCCAUCCUCCCAAAGCCCCAUCGCCCAUUACCCAUCGUCCCCUCGUCCCAACUUUCCAUCGUCCCAUCGUCCCAUCGUCCCACCGUCCCAUCGCCCCACUGCCGCACCGUCCCACCGUCCCAAAGCCCCAUCGCCCAUUGACCAUCGUCCCAUCGUCCCAACUUACCAUCGCCCCAUCGUCCCAAAGCCCCAUCGCCAUCGCCCAUCGUCCCAUCGUCCCAUCGCCCCAUCGUCCACCGUCCCAUCGUCCCAUCGUCCAUCGUCCCAUCGCUCCACCGUCCCAUCGUCCCAUCGUUCCAUCGCCCCAUCGUCCUAUGUUCCCAUCGCCCCAUCGCCAUCGCCAUCGUCCCAUCGUCCCAUCGCCCCAUCGUCCCAUCGCCCCAUCGCCCAUUGCCCAUCGUCCCAACUUACCAUCGCCCCAUCGCCCCAUCGUCCCAUCGUCCCAUCGUCCCAUCGUUCCAUCGCCCCAUCGCCCCAUCGCCAUCGCCCAUCGUCCCAUCGCCCCAUCGCCCAUCGUUCCUUCGGUCCAUCGCCCAUCGUCCCAUCGUCCCAACGCCCAUCGUCCCAUCACCCCAUCGUACCAUCGUCCCAUCGUCCCACAGUCCCGUCGUCCCUUGAUUCCGACGCCUGAUCACCCCGUCGUCCCAUCG